rnacentral:rRNA from 1 species
CGCGGCGCGGCCACAGCCGUAAAACACCCCAAACUUCUGAAAUGUUGACCUCGGA